AUAGGCAGGCGGCUGGCAGAGGUUAAGGCCUGACUUCUGCUCCCGGCCGACCCGGGUUCAAAUCCGCCUGCCGGCUCCUCGGGUGUUUGAGGAGUGUUGAAAUGGGAGGUGGCCCCCCAUCAUAUGGACGAUGUAGGACGUGAUAAAAUCAACUUGCGAGCUAACCAGGAACGAAGUUGAUGCGCCGGUGAUCCGCUAGAUUUGGUUGGAUGCUGGUGGUGAGUUGCCGAACCCAACGAAUACAUUCUGAAGUCGGAUGGGGUGACGGAUUAGGGUGCCCCUCUAGCAGGGGAGAGCAGGAACUGCCUCGGGAAAGGGGCCGCUGGCGAAGUUAACCACCCGG
rnacentral:lncRNA from 1 species